rnacentral:tRNA from 1 species
GCGGGGGUAGCCAAGCCCGGACAACGGCGCGGGACUUAAGAUCCAGUCUCGCAGGAGUCCAUGGGUUCAAAAUCGCGGCCCGCUCC